UUUCAUAUUUUGCACCAAAUUGUUAGUCUUCCAUCAUGCAUUACUACCUAUUUGUCGCCUGUGUUGAGCAGUCAAUCCUCACAAGAAAAUACACUUGAAAGAGAGAGAAGCAGCCCAGGCGCCGCAGC